CGGAUAGGACACCGGCAGCUGACGAUGGCAGAGGGGCGGGCCGUGUGAGCUCGGUGUGGAGACAGGGAGGACCGGUUGGACCGGGACAUAGCUCCAGCUGUUAUACUUAACUCCCGUCCCGCCUGCCCCACACCGCCCGGCUCCAUGGAGACUGCACAGCGGGGGAGCUGGAAGCCUCUGCUUAUCCUCGGCCUGUGUGCCCUGCAGCUGCCCGGCCUGGUCCUGACCAUCCAGGAGGAUGACGGGACACACCGCAACCGGGAGCCGCCCCUGCCCCAGAGACCAGAGGAGGUGGCCCGGGCAGAGAAGAUAUCCAUGCAACCCCCUGCUGUCCAUGUUAGGAAUGUAGACUUCAGCUCCGCUGGUAACCUGGGGUUCAUCCAUGCCUUUGUAGCGGCCAUAUCUGUGAUCAUCGUGUCAGAGCUGGGAGAUAAGACCUUCUUUAUAGCUGCCAUAAUGGCGAUGCGCUAUAACCGCCUGACCGUCCUCGCUGGAGCAAUGCUUGCCUUAGGACUGAUGACGUGUUUAUCAGUGUUAUUCGGAUACGCUACCACAGUCAUCCCCAGGGUAUACACCUAUUAUGUAUCAACUGCUCUUUUUGCAAUAUUCGGCAUUCGCAUGUUACGGGAAGGGUUAAAGAUGAGUCCAGAUGAAGGUCAGGAGGAGUUAGAAGAAGUUCAAGCUGAGAUCAAAAGAAAAGAUGAAGAGCUUCAGAGGACAAAGCUUCUAAAUGGCCCUGGUGAUGUGGAGAGCGGCGCUGGACCGGCUAAUCCCAAGAAGAAAUGGAUGCAGUUCAUCUCCCCAAUUUUUGUACAAGCGUUCACUUUGACGUUCCUGGCAGAGUGGGGGGAUCGCUCACAGCUCACUACUAUUGUCUUGGCAGCUAGAGAGGACCCGUUUGGCGUUGCGGUUGGUGGUACAAUAGGGCAUUGUUUAUGCACUGGGUUAGCAGUCAUUGGUGGUAGAAUGAUAGCGCAGAAGAUUUCAGUCCGAACCGUGACCAUCAUCGGUGGAAUAGUUUUCCUUGCUUUUGCUUUCUCUGCUUUAUUUAUAAGUCCGGAUUCUGGUUUUUAGAGAUUUUAUUUUUCCUCAAAUUCAGAUCAUGGCAAGAGACUCCUUUUUUCUUUUUUUGUACUGUAGUUCUGUAUAUAAUGUACAAAGGUAGCAAUAAGGAGAUGUCCACUGUACAGAAUCACACCACGCAGUGACUAUUUUUAUGCUCGGUCUCUUAAGUAUUGACUGUGUAGUGACUCCUUUUUCUUUAUUUGUGAAUCCAGCCAUAUUUACAGAAGUAAGGUCAACACUACCCUUAGUAUUUUAACAUAGUUUCUCUUGUACGUUCUUAAAGAGGUACUCCGGUGGAAAACCUUUUUUUAUUUUUUUUUUUUAAUCAGCUGGUGCCAGAAAGUUAAACAGAUUUGUAAAUUACUUCUAUUAAAAAUUCUUAAUCCUUCCAGUACGUAUCAGCGGCUGUAUACUAGAGAGCAAAGUCUUUUUGGAUUUCUUUUCUGCUCUCUGCUGACACCUCUGUCCAUUUUAGGAACUGUCCAAAGCAGCAUAUGUUUGCUAUGAGGAUUUUCUCCUGCUCUGGACAGUUCCUGACAUGGACAGAGGUGUCAACAGAGAGCACAGUGGUUGUGACAGAAAAGAAAUCCAAAAAGAAAAGAAUUUCCUCUGUAGUAUACAGCUGCUAAUAAGUACUGGAAAUAUUAAGCAUUAUUAAUAAAAGUAAUUUACAAGUCUGUUUAACUUUCUGGCAGCAGUUGAUUUAAAAAAGAAAAAUACAUUUCCACCACAGUACCCCUUUAAGAUACAGGUAAAAGGUCUACACACUUCAAAGAAGGAGAAGCAGGUCUUGCCUAGUCCUUUGCUGUUUAGAUUUUGAGGUACCUGUGACCUUAAAAGAAAUAGUUAUAAUAUUUAAAGGUAUAGUUGUCCUUGUAAACAUUAGUUGUCACAUGUCCCCAAGCGUCUCCAUCACUAUUGUGCCAUGAGUGGGCACAGUACCCAGUAUAUAGAAAUUGUCAAUAUUUGACAUGCGGUCUGUUCAGACUGACUAACAGCGGAAAGUUUUGGUUCCCCGAAUGUGAAAUGUUUACAUUUCAACUCGACAAAUAUAUAUAUAUAAAAAAAAGAUUUCUUUUCCUAAGCUGGUUUAGUGUUCUUCAUCACUGUAUAGAAGUUCAAGAGCUGAAAUGGCUUUUAAUUUGAGGUUGAUAAAACAUUGGCGCUAUCUUGUAGAAACCGUCUCCCACUCAUUGCAUUGGCUGUGUGUGGACAGAGCUGGAAUACCGGUCCUAUCCAGUGGACAACAGCAGCACUGUGUUUGUUGGAUGGCAGCCAUGUUUUUGUAAUAUAAAGUGAAGAUCCUAUACCAGUGGUCCGCAGGUUGAAGACCACUGUGCUAUACCAUACCUUUUUUGUUUACUGUGUAUAAAAUGUAAUAUUCAGUGUUGAUAUAUACAUUAAUUAUUGCAGUG